rnacentral:rRNA from 1 species
UGCCAGCAGCCGCGGUAAUACGGAGGGUGCACGCGUUAAUCGGAAUUACUGGGCGUAAAGCGCGCGUAGGUGGUUUGGUAAGUUGGAUGUGAAAUCCCCGGGCUUAACCUGGGAACUGCAUUCAAAACUGCCAGACUAGAGUGUGAUAGAGGGAAGUGGAAUUUCAGGUGUAGCGGUGAAAUGCGUAGAUAUCUGAAGGAACACCAGUGGCGAAGGCGGCUUCCUGGAUCAACACUGACACAGAGGUGCGAAAGCGUGGGGAGCAAACAGGAUUAGAUA